GAUGAACGCUGGCGGCGUGCCUAAUACAUGCAAGUCGAGCGAACAGACGAGAAGCUUGCUUCUCUGAUGUUAGCGGCGGACGGGUGAGUAACACGUGGAUAACCUACCUAUAAGACUGGGAUAACUUCGGGAAACCGGAGCUAAUACCGGAUAACAUUUUGAACCGCAUGGUUCAACAGUGAAAGACGGUCUUGCUGUCACUUAUAGAUGGAUCCGCGCUGCAUUAGCUAGUUGGUAAGGUAACGGCUUACCAAGGCAACGAUGCGUAGCCGACCUGAGAGGGUGAUCGGCCACACUGGAACUGAGACACGGUCCAGACUCCUACGGGAGGCAGCAGUAGGGAAUCUUCCGCAAUGGGCGAAAGCCUGACGGAGCAACGCCGCGUGAGUGAAGAAGGUCUUCGGAUCGUAAAACUCUGUUAUUAGGGAAGAACAAAUGUGUAAGUAACUGUGCACGUCUUGACGGUACCUAAUCAGAAAGCCACGGCUAACUACGUG
rnacentral:rRNA from 1 species